CGUCCGCCUGCCCGAGCCAUCAACGCCGCCAAGAUUAUUCAGUUAGGAUUUUGCUUCUCUGUUACUCUUCUCAGUUUUACUUAGAAUAAUAGCAAAACCUAUAGAAAUUGAUUUUGCUUACUAUCCUUCCGGUUAAAUUAUUUGAUUUGGUAUCUAAAUAUCUUCUAUCAGUGCUUGCAACUUUUUAGCAUUCAAAAAUUUGGGGUCAGGGUUGCAGGGUCAGUCACAUGUUGGACAUGGUUGAACUAUGCUUCUCUGAGGCAGCUCUGAUCUAUUACGUGCUUAAUGAUUUCUGAAGGCCUUAUCUGUACAUCCCAGUAAAGAAAUUGAUGAUUGAUGUGUACCCUAUUUUGCCAUCUCUACUAAUAUGCAGGGAUGAAAUAAUCAAGGACUUGCCCUUGCUUUGUUGCUACUGAAUUGGCCACGUCUUCAUUGAAUAAGUUAAGAAGUUAUCACAUGGCACUUUUACUAAUAUGCAGUACUUAUUUUGUGAUGUAGCAUGUAGAAAACCUUAUAUCUUUACUGUUAUUACGCAAUACAUCGUAUAUGAUUUUCCAUCAACAGUAUGUUCUACUCUGUGUCUAUUUGUGGGAGUUAGUAAAGUUAAUUAAAAUUUACAUGCUUUGAUUAUUCGCUGCAGAUUCUAAGAGUGGAAAACUAAUAUUGGAUGAGGCUGUUUUUCUCUCGGAUUAAAAAAAGAAACAGAUAGUAACUUCGGAUCUCAUGCUUUGAAGCUCAUAAUACAUGUGACUUGACUUGAAGUUGGUGUCAAUGCAAAGGGAUCAAGAGUCACUGUUCUGACGGCCAAUAAUAUGAUGCAUGAAAAUUCCUUCAGCAACCCAAAUAAUGUUGUGUUGACUACCGAUGGGCAACAAGCCAUGAUGCUAAAAUUUAGUUUGUUCAACUUUUUGUAAAGAAGCCAACCUUUUGCUAGCUGUUGUUGAGACUUAUAGGUACUUCACAAUUUCUUCUGUGGUCAUUGUGCUUCUUGUAGAGUAGUAGCAGCACCUCUUCUGGCAGGAGCAGUGGUAUUGGCUUGUAGAGUAGUUACAGGACGAGGGUAUUGUGGCAUCGACAUAUGGUGGCAGAGCUAUGCAUAGAUAUGAGGACCAAUGGAUAUGUGUGCAUCAUCGACCUGCUCAAACUCUCCAUAUCUUUGCAAAUCGCAAUCCCACGAUGUGGACGAGAUCUUGGAGGUAUUAGCAAUACUGCUUCAUGAUUUUAUUCUAUAUUGAUGAACUAUUGUCGAACUUAUUAGGCUCUCAGUGCUACAUGCUUUUCCAAUCUAUUGGAUAACAAGUAGAGGUUUAAAAUAUAAAAUUUAUUUUAUAUCUUGGAGAAUGAUGGCAAGCUGUUGAUCGAAGCAAGCCAAGGGCACACGAACUACAAGCCACUUGCACCGGAGGUUGUUUGACAGCAAAAUCGAAGCAAUAAGUCGCAGGUCGCCGUGAAAAACUGGAGCUACUCCGUGAUCCGGCCUGUUUGGGCUUCAUUCGUGAGGACGCCGCGGCCGACCGCAGACGACGCGGCUGGAGCGGGCAAGAUUGAGCUUUGCGGGAUGCUGGGGUCGAUAGGAUGAUACUACUACAGUUGAAGCAAAGCGAGAGCAAAGACCUGAUGCGCGAGCAGGAGCACAAGCACGAACACGAUUACACCCAGCCAGGCGCGGAAGCUGGCAAGGGAGUCUGGGGAAUAUGCUGUUGGGAACUUGGAAUGUGCGGAUGCUCGGGGCGAGAGCGAUGCGGAGCUAAUCAUAAUUCUGUAACAAUACAAAAAUUUAGACUUGUGAGUCCAUCACCAAGUCGUUGUAGUAUAGUGGUGAGUAUUCCCGCCUGUCACGCGGGUGACCCGGGUUCGAUCCCCGGCAACGGCGUUUAUUUUUUUUUGCUUGCUACUGUUACGUUCACUCUUUGGUUUUUUUUGUCACAUAUCUUCCAGAAAGCUUACGUCUUCCAUA